ensembl:lncRNA
CUUGAAGUCCACGCUGCCAGGCCCCCCUGGGGCAGUUAACACAAUGAAUGAUUUACUCAUUGCCAGUUCAUCUAUAUCAAAUUACAGGUUUUCUUGAGUCUCAACAUUGACUCAUUUUUUUCCUGCAGUUAAUGUGCUUGUGGAGUUGUUCUUUUGAAGGGAUGCCGGUUCUCCUUCUCAAUGCAGGAAUGGUACAGUUACCUGUCUCUAACUUGAAUGCUUGUCUUUGCUAGAAAAGGUUAUUCUCUCCCAAUGCCAGGGUGAGCAGCCAGGAAUAAUGUUAGUCUGGUUGGGUAUCUGGGUGAGUGAAAGAGUGCUUCUAAUUUUAGAUUAUAAGAAUUUAUAUGAGUUUGUGUGAGUAUGUAUGCAUAAACUAACGUGUCUAUAGGCUAUAGCUUUUGGAAUACUUAGCUAAUUGAAAUUAAAGAUUUAUCAGGUAAUCUUAUCAUGUCACCUCAGAAAACACAUAUCAUAAGUUUCUGAAGAGAUUUUUAUUUUAAAGGUCAUCUAGCAAAAUAUUUCAGCAUAAACUUUUGUUUUUUUGAAAUGGCUCUAAAUAGUGCUGAAAGUGUUUAACUUACUUCAAAGAUGCUAAUUUGAGCCUCAGACAGCUGCAGUGGUUAUUAAUAUGAGCACAAUGGCUGACGAUUUGACAACAGCCUCUGGUUUUCAUUUGCUGCUUUCAUACUAAAUGUCCCUUUUGUGCAUGGGCAUAAAAACCAUGGUCAGAUGACUCACUUGGGAGACAUUGUUGUAGACUGCUCAGCAUCUGAGCACUUUUUUUCAGGAGAGUGAUAUACCCUUUAAUAGGGAAAUUGGUAGACCUCAUACCAGAUUAUAAAUCCUCAACACAUUACUAGUCUUUUUACAGUGCAGUGAAAACUCAAGGAGAAGAAACUUUUAAAUAUAAAAUUGGUAAUAACUGAUGUGAUUUUAAUACAUUCUACUCUAGACAAAUUGACAUAAAGAAGCAUCAUGGGACACUGUUAGAGUUAGAACAAAUAAGCAAUUCUUUAUCAUUCAGCUGAAACAUGAUUUAGAGGUGAAUAAUUUCAAUGACAUUAUUUUUACCUGCUUAUUUUUGUACUUUUCCAGAAAAUAAUUCUACCUAAGUGGAAAAACAAUCACAGAAAGUAUCCAAUGGAGUGUUCUUUUUUUAUUCUCAGCUGGAUUCAUGGAUAUUUAUAUUUAUUUGUAUUCAUGUAUUUGCAUUUUUUUCUUACUGAGCACCAUUUUACCUGGUUGAACUUUGUUUUAUAAAUGCACAAGGGCUUACAUCAUCCUGUGGGCAUCUCUGAAGGUAUCACAUUCACCAGACAACUUGUCUAACUCUGUGCGUGUGUUUUUAAAGGGCUUAGCUUAUUUGUUGUUUGAAUAAGAGUAAAUAACUGAAUACAUACUGAAAAAUGUACAACUUAAUAUUUCUGACACAGACUAAGUCAAAGGCAAAAUUUAAAGCAUAGGCAUUUCUCUUUGCUGUAGUUUUUCAAAAUUAAAAUCAGAUAUUUGACAAAUUGAUAAUAAUGAGAUUGAUGAGUUAGGACACACACCUUGCUCAAGAAGCUUGUCUUCCCUGCCAGAAGAUGAGCUACAUUAAGUCCAGAGACUGCAUCUGUUGCUGCUGUCACUCUGAGUGUUCUGUAUCUGUUCUGCUGUCAGUUAUGUGAAUGAAUGAAUGAAUGCAUGCAUGAAUGGAUGUAUUCUUAUUGGACUUAAAUACUUUCACAGGGGUUGAAUAUAAGUUGUUUAGUCCUCACUACUAAUAAUUAAUGUAACUAUUCUUAGCAUCUUCUUUAUACAGAUAAUGAAAUUUACAGUGAUUUGUCCAGUGUUAGCCAGGUGGGAAGGGCAUGUCUAAUCCUUAUCUUUUCACUCCAAAAUCUAGGUUCCUUUUCAAUCCUAUCUCUGUUACACAGCUCCUCAGUUCUGCCAUUGUGGAAAAUGAGCAUAUAUAUGACAAAUGAGCAUAUAUAUAAACAAAUGAGCAUAUAUAUGUUCAAAUAAAGCUUGGUUUAUAAAAUUCAUACUGAGUUGGAUUUGACACAUGGACUGAAAUUUGUGGUUCUGUAUUAUGAUACAGUCAAAGAUUUGAGUUCUAGUCCGGGCUGUACUAUUAUCUAUGGCAACAAAUGAUAAUAAAAACACCACUAGCUAACAUUUAUAAUAUGCUUUGAGAAAUCCAAUAUGUGCUUCAUCCAAUUGAUCUCAUUUAAUAAAUGUAGAUGGAGUAAAUGUUUGUAACUCUUAUCUUUGAGCUAUGGUCAGAGAACUGAGUUGAAAUCCAGGCAUCCCCUCAAGCCUUUGAUACCGUGAUAGGAAGCCUCUGCUUUCACCAAAAUCAGACAACAAAGUUGCAGGACCUGAAGGAAGUGACUUUGGAGGAUGGACACUUGCUAUAGUUAGUUGUGUCAUCAUCUUUGGGGAUGUGAAAUCCAGGAAGAAAAGACUCUUUGUGUUCUGACAGGCUGGAGCAGGGGACGCUGGCUAACACGAGCCUGUCUGGGGCUGGCAUUUACAACUGCUUCCUCUAGGUCCUGACUGCUUUCUAAUACUUCAAUAUAAAUAUUUUUAUGCCUUUGAAUAUCUAAUAAGAAGUCUUUUAAAUAGAAUUAUGCAAAUAUUAUUUAAGACAGUAAAAUAAUAUCACAGAGCCAAAGGUGUGCAAACCUACAAGUCAGUCCACGGGUCCUUCUCAUUCUGUUCCAUCUUCAGGGAAUGCAUAUCUGGUGCCAGGAAGAAACAAUAUUACUGAGUGGGCAAGGUUAUUAGGCAGAGAGUUUCUAGACUGGGCAUAUAUAUGCUACCCUCCUGGGUCUUUGUGAAAAUGCUAUCGCUGAGCUGCACUGCUGAAAUCCUGGCCUCAAAAAUGUGACUUGGUGACAUCAAGUGAGAAUUUUGGGCAGGAACAACUGCUUUUUCAAUGAAAGAAUGGUGUAUACCCAGAGCUUCCCUAAAGCCAGGUAAAAUGUAUGGAUUAAUUUUCAACAUUAUAAUUUAAUUCUCUGGACUAAUAUGGAAUGUGGGCAGCCUUUUAAUAUUCGUUGUAGAUAUAAAGAAAUUCAAGAUCAGAAAUAAUAUUUUCCAUUGGCAAACCAUUCCUUGUUGCUUAUUCCCCAGACUCCAUAGGGAAUAUAAUGUCCUGAGACCUUAGAGUCUUGUUACUUUUGUUGGGUUAGAACAGAGCAGUGUGAAGUGUAUUACCAUGAACAACUCAGGGAAUAUGGGAUGAAAUGAAGUAGAUCUAAAUUUCUUAAUAUGCCCAAAGGAAGAAUAUGAGUUGUUGAGUUCAGUAAUCAAAAGUACUGAAUCUCUAGGCAUACCAGGAUUAAGGAAAGGUUAAAUAUAGAACAGGAAUAAGGAAAUCUGCUCCUAAUGGAUUGCCAUGUGUCCCUUCAAGGACAGAGGUGCAAGUGGAGGGCAAGUUUGGGGAGAGCUAUGAGUAUAUUUACAAAAAAUUCAUCUUUUACUUGAUUCUUACUAGAGGCAAGGUAAUUCAUCUUUAUCUCCUUCCCAAUAGCCUCAGACUUAAUUUGACCUUGGCUAUUUAUUCUGUUACAGAGACAUGGGUAUGAUACAAUUUUAUAAACCUGGUUCUUUUUGAGUGGUUUUUAGCUCUUUGCAUAAAUUUGUACCAAGGACCUACUCUGUGUAUACCUAGUGCUGGGUGUUGAAGGGAAUCCCAAAAGAGCAGCUGUGUGGCCUUCUAGGUGAGAAGGCAAGAUUGAGAGUGUGUGAGCAUAUGCAAAUUCACCAUAUCAAGUAAACAGUGCCAAGGAGGCACAUUAAUAAUUACCUAACCCAGAGCUUUGGACAGUCAACUCUCCAGAUGUUUACAGAAGUGAAAAAUCAGUAUAAGCUGGAUUAGUGCAUCUCAAACUCUAAUAUAUAAUCAGAUCCCUUAGGGGAUCUUUGUUGAAUGCAGAUUCUGAUUGUUAUAUUUGAAGUAGGAGCCAAGAGUCUACAUUUCUAAUAGGCUUUGGAUCUGUUUGGCUCAUUCAUGGUAGGAAUCUAUCAUAUGCCAGGCAUUUUGCAACACAACAGGGAUAAAACAAUGAAUACCAUACAGCCUUUCCUUCCAAAGGAAAACAGGCAGCUAAAGCAAAGGUUAUAAAGCAGAGUAAUAAUUGGUAGAAAUACUCUCAGGGUUCUAUCUUAUCCCAGAGGGGUUAAGAUUGAUUUAUGAAGAAAGGAUAAGAGUUUCUGUGACUUUCUAUUUAAGUUGUCAUGGAAAGUGAAAGGAUGGGGCAGAGAGGAGGAAGACAUGUGUGAAGGUCUGGGAUGUUUAAUAGCACCUUUAAGGUGGCUGGGAGUCUUGUGGUAUAACCAAAGCAAAGACUCUCGGCAGAGGAGAGGAGGAGGAAAGAGAUGGAUGGUGGCCCAGGCCAGGUUGUGGGGGAUCUUGUGUGCUAAGCCUAGAUUUUGAUGCCACACCCUGAAAGUUAAGGUCACUGGUGGAAGAAAAUCCAGAGGCAACUUAGAAGGCCCUGGAUCAGAAUGGUGUGCCCUCAGCCUUUAUGCUUCACUCUAUAAAUGACUACACCAACUCCUUUCUGGGAUUUAAACUAUUGACUAUGUUUUGCCUGAUUUGGUACCUACCACUUUCCUCUACCCCAACAUGUAAUUUAUGUUUCAUCUCUUUCAUUCCUUUUUUUUCUUCUUUUUACAAGAUCAUUUAUAGGUAAGGAGUAAAAAUGUGAAGACUUCUGCAAAUAUGAGGCUGGGUCAAACUGGUACCCCACCACCACCAUUCUCCCUACCUACCCAUCCAGAUCUAGGAACUUUAGAGGUUCUCUUUUCCUGCUGGAAUAUUGGAAACACAUCUACAAAGUACUACAUGAGUAGAAUGUUGGAAUUCUUAAAGAAAAGCGCUCACCACCUGAAAGGGAUAUAAGGUGACCAAGGGUCAAACUUCAGUGACCUUCAGAGGCCACCCUGCCAAUGAAGGAACCCGCUGUGUUACUGCAACCUAAUGCCAGUAUGGACUCAUGCAGCAAAAUGACAAAAAUCACUGAAGGGGAAACGGGCAUCUCAGCAAGUGAAAGAUAUAUUGGCUGGUCCUCUAUUAUCACCCCUCAUUUGUUUUUUGCUUAGUAGAAGAUUUCCUGAUUUGAAGAGACAGGUUUAUUUUGGAGACUGUGAAACACAAAUGCACAAAACAAAAGGCAUAUCUGGCAGCCUAAGAAGCAGUUUGCAGUUAAAAACACAAUGAUAUAGACCAAAUUUAUCUCUCAUUCCCUGAACCAGCAGCAGAAGCAGCCAGUGCACAUGUCUGGCAAGAUCUAAGGGAAGAAAAUCUGAACCAGAAAGAAUGUGGCUGGCUUGAGGUCUGACGCAAAAGAAAAAACUUAUAAAUUUCCUCAUAGAACUCAUAUUAAAAUGGGAGUUUGGAUUCAAGCAACUAAACACUGAAAUUAAAAUUCUUAUAUGGGGUAUUUGUAGUUUCCAAUUAUAUCUUUAUGAUAUUUUCUCUGUGGAAGUUGAUUGCUGUUCAUUAUAAUAAAUUACUUGAAUUGUCUGUAUCUUUACUUAACCAUUUCUUUUCAUGUCUUUGCUUUCUUUUGUUCUUUUUAAAAGUAGAAAAUGCUCAGUUGCUAAAUAAUGAAGACUUAAUUUUUUGUUUCUCCCAAAUUUUACCUUACUCAUGAUCAUUAAUAAUUUUCAGAAGGGUUCUGAACCCUUCUCUUUUCUUGUGAACUCUAGAAAAAUGCUAGCUCAGUAUGCAUAGUACUCCAUCCUUAACCAGCUAUGUUAUUGCUUUGAACCCUGUUCUCCAACUUACUCAAGAAACUGCAGUUAAAUAUUAUUGGGAUCCUUUUUUUUUCUAUAACAAACACGUUUCUAUGUAUUUUAUGGAUAAUUAAAUAAAACUUGAACUCUGGGCUUAAGGUUUUUCUCACUGACUUGUCAUAGGAAAUACAAAAGUAACAGAAAUGAAUUUGUGGCUUAAAAGCAUCUUUUAGAGGGCCAGGGAUUUAGCUCAGUGGUGCUGUCCACUGCCUCACAAGCGAAAGGUCCCGAGUUUGAUCCGGUACCAAAAAAAAGGCUUCUGUGACCUACAUUUUUUGAGACAAUGAAAGUAAGGAGUCAAGAUCUUACAUGAUAAAGUGAAAGACAUCACUACCAGGAAAGCCAGUUAUGUGAAACAACCGUGUGAACCAUGUAAAAGCUGGAGAGGGGUGUCUUGAGAACCAGGGCUCAGUUUUGUCACAAGGGUUAGGUCAAUAGAAUACCAGUGCCACAUGCCUGGCAGAGUUCUUGCCACAUAGAUGUUAGUUGCUCCCUGGAUUAACCCCAGCUCUUGCUUUAUGGAUUCCUUGCUGACAUACCAUCAUAUUUAUCAGUGCUCUUACCUGUUUCUUUCCUUUGUCAAGGUUGUCAUCCACCUGGCCCUGCCUACGCAGCUGCAGCUAAAGGGCAGGUUCUCAGAUCAUAUGCCUCUCCCCUACUUUAUUUCCUUUUUUAAAAAAUCACCAUUUGGGACUUAGAGUUGGCUACUCAGAUUAAAAAAGUGUCUAAUUUAAUUUGGAUCAUUGAACCUUCAUUUCACUUUGGCUCGUUCAACUUAUUGAAUCAGACCAAAUUCUCAUAGUCCCUCAGGAAAUACCAUCUUUUACCCACAAGUUGGCAAAGGACUCCCAUUUUCAAAGAGAUAUUCAACCCAAUAACCAGAGGAGGUCCUGUGGCAGUCAAGAUUGGUCAAGGAAACAUAGGUCACUAUAAUCAUGACUCAGCCCUGGUUAUUAUCAUUGGGACAUAAUUUCACCUCUCUGCUAUUUCUAGCCAAUCUAUUUCUUAUCUCUCUUCUGCUUUUUCCUUUAUAUUUCAGCAAAAAUUCUAAGGUCUGUGAUCCAUUUUCAUGUUCGCCAAGAUCACAUUGGCACAGAAAUUUUUCUGCAGCCUUCCCUUGAGGACAACAUCACACUGAAACUUUCUGACCUUAAGCUAAAGGCUGUGCAAGCCUCUUAGCUACUUGUCUUCUGAUCAGCUUCUACUCCCACCUCCUCUUUUACUCAUUCAUUUCUUUCUUCCUUUCCUUAACACAGGUACUCCAUAGUUCUUUCCCCAUCUCUCUCCAGCUUUCUUUCAUCUGACCCUGAAAGACAAAAUGCUGAUAAGCUCCCUUCCCUGCUUCAUUAAAAAAUUGCCAUUAAAAUUUAUAGCUGGUUUAGGCUGGCCAUCACUGAUCUUCUUGAUUUAGUUACCGCCAAGAAAUGCUUUAUGAUUAUCCACUGACUUAUUUAUAACAAACAUAACAAAGUCCUUGGUGUUAGCAGCCUGUAGAGAAAUUAUUUGUUUUGAAAAUAGAGUGGAUACUUAAAGUUCUCUGUGAAGAAUGGGAGUGUUUGGGUUUGUUGUACUUGCAUAUUUUAUAUAGAAAGGUAAAGUCUCCAAGCCUCAAUAUGUAAUAACAUCAAAUCAUUUUGUUGCUGUGUAGAAAAUGUGUGUUCUAAGGUUGCACAGAAAAUUUCCUAAUACUUCUUAAGCACUGGUUUCAGUAGGCCACUGGUGAGGCUGGUAAGUGAAAACAAAGUGUACUGGUGAGGAUUAAAUGAUUCAUUGGCGGAAACUGUUUGAACAUCUAAAUGUGAUGAAGUUAGUUGAUUGUAGAAGAGUAAUUUAGAAGCUAAUGUAAUAACCACCUGUCUUGAGUCUGCUAUUUGAAGGAUGGUCAGAGAAGGAAUGAAUGCAGUGUUUGAAAUGUCUCAAUAGUGUUGAGUGUUCUGAUAUGUGUGAAAGUGAUCUGUUCUCCUUGGCACUCUGUCAAUCACUACAUGAGUUUAAGGUGUUCUGCAGUAUCCAAAGUCUUUUAACAGAUGCCUUUUGUCCUGAGAAAAACAGUGCAAUCACAUAGAACAGGCCAAUAAGAACAGUUGUAAUGCUUGUUUCCAAGGAGAAAUUGUGGCUGUAUCUUCUGGAAGUAAACACCAACAUUAUGGUGCCAGUGAUUGCUUUAGCACUUCACUGUCACAGAAGAAAUCUGAUGUCCACAGAAUGGUCAUAAUAUUCUGCCUUCUGUGCUUAGGAUCUGGCAGUAAAGACCAAGUGUCCAUACCUGUACUACUAUUGAUUACUGUAUAUUCCUUUGCUGAAGGCAGUGCUAUCUUAUGGGGUGUUGCAGAUAUAGAAGAGCUUGGUGGUGAAGGUGGAAGAAUAAAGACUGGUUUCUGCUGGUUCAAGUGGACUUUACCUAAUAAAUAUGGGAGCCAAGAGUAGAAGAACCAAUCACAUCAGGGAAAGCCUUCAAUAGCAGUUUUAAUGAGGUGCCUGGAUAAUUCAGGAAGUGUGGCUAGAUAAACCAAGUUCAAGUGAGGGUCCCACGUGACCCAAUCAAUUUCCACAUGAUAAUCCACAGAAAGCACUGUGUCAAAAUCACAACAAUGACAACUGAAACCUAAUCUUUAUCUCUUAAAAAUCAGCAAGGUAGAUUCGGUUUAUAAUCCACCAUAAAACACCUCUCAAACUCCUUUUGGUUCCUUUCCAACUUCUCCGACUCCAAAGCUGCUCCAGAAACAUUCACAUCCCAAAUAUCAAAAUGCUUUUUCACAUACCAUGUGGCACAUGUGAGCUUUCAUCACUUAUGCACACCUUCAGCUCUUAGUUUGCAGGCUCUACUCAGCCUCUCUUGUUUUGCUUUGCUUUCUCUUGUCCUUUGUUGUUUAAUGUGGUUCUAGCAUUUAAAAAAAGAUUAGGAACUAGUUUGGUAAAAUUCUCUUAGAAGCUAAGACAAGGGCAAGUGAAGAGUCUGAGGUAAAUACAAAGUUCUCUCAUUAGCUGGGGUGGAAACAGCAAUCUCAAACCAUUGCUGUGUUAAAAUAUCUGGUCCUAUCCCAACCUACAGUAAGAGCUAACAUUUAUUAGGAGUCAACAAAGUUCACGCAUUUUGUUGAGUAUUUUUAUAUAAUUAUGACAUGAUAAUUCUAAUUUAUCUUACAAAUUUGUAACAUCACUGUAAAAAUAAGGAGACAGUAGUUCAGAACGACUGAAUAACUUGCCAAGGCCACAUCGCAGGUUAAUAACAGAAUUAGGAUUUCCGAACCUCAGAAACCCUGCAAACACAGUGUACCUCAGUUCAUGAACACUAGUUUGCAAACAAUUUGGUUUACAAACAGAAACUUUUGGAAAAAUUUUGUUUUUGUUUGCAAACUCUACAUUGGGUGGCAAACAUGCCCGCAGUCGUAUUUCCCACACAAACACCAUCAUGGCCAUCAUUUCCAAAAUCAUAGAAAAAAAAUUAAGUUCGUGAAUCAAGAUACCACUGUAUCAUAUUCUUAAUCAUUAUAAACUCUAUGAAUUAGCAUCUCUCAAUGGCUGAGAUUGUACUGAGAUUAAAGCAAUUACUGAAACAUUGAUGCUGUUUGAAUAUAAGAAAUAUAAUUUAAGAAAUAUAAUUUAAUUCCAUCCUUUUUUUGAGGUAAGUGUAUUAUUUUGGACCCAACUCUGUAUUAACAAGAUCUGUAUUAGCAAAGGUUAGACACUUGUCUACAAAUUAGUACUGAAAUGUCCCAAUAUAAAUGCUUGUGAUUUGGAAGAGAAAUUCAAAAUUUAAAACUUCUCUUAAAAUUUUUUUUAACUGUUUCCUAUCCUCUGCCCAAAUGAUCAGCAGGAAUUCUAUAGCCCAGGGUUAAAAUUCUGAAUUUGUUACCCCUGAGUGGUUCACACCUCUCCACUCUGCCUCUUCUUGGAAACUGGAGGAAGGUUUUAGGAAGGAGGGGGAUUAAAGAGCUCAUGAGCACGUGGCAGUGAUGGAGCAUGGACCAAACCAGUCCACCAGUUUCUCUGGACAAUAUGCCACAUCCAACAGGAAUUAUUCAUUACAUUUCUACUUUUUAAAAUAAAUUUUCCCUUUGGUAUAAAUGUUUUCUUGCUGUUUUUGUACCCUGAUCAAAAGUGAAGUGCUAUUUCUCUAAUGACAUUCAUCAUUACUCCUGGGAAGUUAAGCCUUAAGUUGACACUUUCCACUUUUCUCUUUUUGGCAGAUGCCUUCAACCAGUACAUGCUUGAGUCAGGAACUUUCCUCUUUUAGCUGUGCUAUGUCACUACAUUGGUAGUGAGUCUCAAGCCAACUCCUUUGGCUGCUGUUUGGUGAUCUUUCUAUUGAGAUUAGAGUUUGAGUUGUUUUUAUAAAGGACAUGAAACAGAGAGGGGAAGGUGAGGCUGAACAUAGAGCUCUGACCUUAUAUUUGGAGGCCUUGGCCUUCUAGGUUCUAACAAACAUCACAGCUUACAAAAAAUCAUUCUAAGGCUCCCAAACAAUUUCUUGACUCUGUUAUAGAUGGAGUUUAUGGAAUUAUUGUAAGAGAUCUGCACAUCCCUAUGUAAAGGGAAUAAAUAAUAUAUCUUACACAUAUAUGUGCCAUUCAUUUCACACAUGAAAAUAGGUAAUGUUGUAAUCAAUACGAUACCAAUUGUUUUCCUUACACUAAUACAAUUAAAUUUAUUUGAUAGUAUGUAUUUACUUAGAGAUUCUACUACUGUCACAAGAAAUUUAUAAACUCUCACAUAAGAAAGGAAUCCCCCCCCCAACCCGGUACCAGGGAUUGAACUCAGGACCUUGCACUUGCAAGGUAGGCUCAGUACCACUGAGCUACAUCCCUGGCCCCAGGAAUUCUCCUUUUUAAAGAGUUUGGAAUCACUAAUCUAAAUAAUGGCGGCCCCCGCUGGGACUAGCAAAAUAGAAAGAAAUAUAAAAGAAGUCAAAAAUACAAAGGCACUGCUAAAAAAAAGCAAGAAGUCUCUGCCCAAAGCUAUCAAUUUCUGUAGGGAAAUUAGCUGACACAUCCUUGCUUUACCUUGGAGCUCCCAAAGGCUGCAGCUAGAUUUAGCAUGGGUGUUAGAGCACCGUGUGUCAGCAAACUCACAGGAAGAACCCAUCAUUUCUACUGAUAUUCUGUCUAAGCUUCAGAAUAGCAUAGCAUUCAGGUGCCUGCUUGUAUCUUAAUGUUUCUGACAUUUUCCUGAGGAGAAAUAAUAGAUUAUGAGUCAAUGUGCAAAGGGAUAAAUGAAGAGCUCUCUCCAAUUGUGAAAAUCCUGCUUCAAGUUGUUGAUCAAAAGGUUCAUCCAGAGAGCACAGCAGGUAAGUGAUUUUGCUGGUUUUUACCUGCCCCAAGUCCAUCUCCCCUUCUUCUGGUAACAGAAUCUUAAUUUUCCUUCAGAAAAUUGUCCGUCUCCACUGCUGAGCACAUAGUCCAGAAAUAGUCCCAAGAUUGCCCCUGGAAUUAAUCAGGAGGCAAAUUUCUUCAGAUGAGAUUUUGAAACUAGUUAGAAGUUAGUGCUACUUCAGGCCACUUUUGCUAUCAUUGAGGAGAGCUUGUGUAAGAAUAAAGCAACACAGAAUAGCUGGUCAGCAAAUGGGCAGAGGGAGAGGGAGAGGAAGAAGGAGAAGGAGAGAGAAUAUCUCCAAAAACAUUAGACUAUCUGAUCUGAAUAUUGGUGAUUUAGAUUUUUAGACAAGUCUCCUCUGUUGCUUACAUGUUUGACUUAGGGUAUUGUCACUGGCAUGUAAUGAAACCCAAGUAAUACAGAGUUGCCUUUUUUUAACCUUUGGUGAAAUUUGCCAUCUUCUUUGUGCAUUCCAGUUGCAAGGAAACUCCACUCUGCCAUGUCAGUACUCUUCGUUAGUCCACUAUGCUCCCUCUCUGUGGGGAGCAGGACUUUUUUAUGCAGGUCCAAGGAAAGGUGGGGGGAAUAAGAGACUUUGUAGUCUUCCUGGGGAACUUGGCUCUCUGAUGGCGCUGAAAAGACAUCUCAGGCCAGAAUGUUCCAAAAUGCAAACUGCAGCUUUCUUUCCAAAUGGCAACAGUGAAUGAUGGAUUGCAGUACACAAAAGGUUGCCAAUUUUUGAUAGAGCAGCCCAGUUGCUCAGCUGGGGACCCUGCUAAGAAGGAGGACUAUAAUAGUGUUGUUUUAUGGAGAUGGGAUAUUUUGAUGCUGACCCUUUGAUUUUGCUGCUAUUACUUUUUUACUAGUUCUUUUGUCAUUCUUGAUUCCCCUGCUGUGUUCCUUUCCAUUAUCUCUUUUCUUUGUCUGAAAUUGAACCCACAGAAUGAGCCUGUAAUCAGAGGACAUGAGAAUCCCUAAAUUGCUUUCAUUUUGAUUUUCUACUUUAUUAAUAUUCAGAAUAUGGAACAUAAAGGAGGCAUUUUGAAUCACUGUCUCUUCAACUUGGUCAUGCUACUAUGUAAUCCAUUGCAUGGAAAAUUUGAAUAUGCAUCAUAGCAUUUGAACCUGACAUUUCUAGAUCUAUUUGUAGUACAUUAUGUAGGAAAUUACUUCAGUCUUACUAGUACUGGGGAAAACUUCAUCAUGCAUUAUUCCACCAUCCUGAAAAAAGAAGCAAGUGGGAAGAUUUGUAUAUAAGGACAAUACAAGAACAGCAAUAUUCCAACCUAUUUAUAAAGAUUAAACUAACUCCCUCAGCAUAAUUAGACUUGACAGAUCCUCAAUUUUUGUGUUUUCUUGUGCUGUUAACAAAUAACCAAAUAAGGUCAUUGUUCUUCAGUGAUCUUUGCAUAGGAGUAAGAAAAAUUCAGAAAUUAAGUAUUUUAUAACAAAAUUAAAUUUUCCCUGGCUUAUGUAGGAGCUUCCGGAAAAGUUUUAAAAUAACAUUUCGAGUGUACUGAGCACUUUCUGUGAGCCAAACAUUUUGCAUAUGUUACCUUAUUUGAUCUGAGUACCUGGGACUAGAACAAUUAGUCUCCUUAUUUUAUAAGUGAAGAAACUGAGGGCUAGAGGGGCCAAGCAACCUGUUCAGAGCCAAGUGAAAGUUUCUAUGUCAAUCCCGAGGCCAAGCUUUCAGCAAUUACAGAAAGGAUAGGAAGAAGGGAGGUUGAAUUCUUGUUCUGUUAGCUCAUGGAUUCUUAAGGACUCCUAAAGUGAGGGGUUGGUGUGGGAGAGAACAAGGCAAAGCCAUUUCCUGUGUUGUUGGUUUCAGGCCUUUCAGGGGCAACAGAUCAGGAGAAGAUAAAUAAAGAUGGAUGGGGCAGGGGUGGUGGUGGUGGUAGUGGUGGCUGCUAGAAAUAUCUGUAGCAAUUUGCAAAGUUAAUUGUGGCAUCUUUUCUUACCGAUAGCUUGACAAUAGCUAGUGCCUAAGCCAUUUUGGCUUCCUAUCCAACUCCCUCAUGUCCCACACUCCUUUAUGGAGCUUAUUCUUUCUCCCAUUUCCAGACCUUUUUACAUUUUCUCCUACCCAGCAUACUUUUCUAUCCUUUUGCUUAGCCUUCAAGUCUAAUUUUGAAUGGUUUUUCAUCAUGAAGCUUUUGUUUGGUUGUUUGUUUUUGAGGGAGGGCCUCCUCACUAUGUAGUUCAGGCUGACCUUGAGUUCACUACAUAAUCCAGGCUGCCAUCCAACUCACAGUGAUCCUCCUGCCUCAGCCUCCCAAGUGCUGGGAUUACAGGUGUGUGCUAUGCC